AGAGUUUGAUCCUGGCUCAGGAUGAACGCUAGCGACAGGCUUAACACAUGCAAGUCGAGGGGCAGCAAUUUGUAGCAAUACAAAGUUGGCGACCGGCGCACGGGUGAGUAACGCGUAUGCAACCUACCUACAACAGAAGAAUAAUCCGGCGAAAGUCGGUCUAAUACUUCAUAAAACAGGGAUACCGCAUGGUGUUAUUUGUUAAAGAUUUAUCGGUUGUAGAUGGGCAUGCGUACCAUUAGGUAGUUGGUGAGGUAACGGCCUACCAAGCCUACGAUGGUUAGGGGUUCUGAGAGGAAAGUCCCCCACACUGGUACUGAGACACGGACCAGACUCCUACGGGAGGCAGCAGUGAGGAAUAUUGGUCAAUGGGCGAGAGCCUGAACCAGCCAAGUCGCGUGAAGGAUGACGGCCCUAUGGGUUGUAAACUUCUUUUGCAGGGGAAUAAAGAUAUUCACGUGUGGGUAGUUGUAUGUACCCUGCGAAUAAGCAUCGGCUAACUCCGUGCCAGCAGCCGCGGUAAUACGGAGGAUGCAAGCGUUAUCCGGAUUUAUUGGGUUUAAAGGGUGCGUAGGUGGACUAUUAAGUCAGUGGUGAAAGUUUGUCGCUCAACGAUAAAAUUGCCGUUGAAACUGGUGGUCUUGAGUAUGGAUGAAGUAGGCGGAAUGCGUGGUGUAGCGGUGAAAUGCAUAGAGAUCACGCAGAACUCCGAUUGCGAAGGCAGCUUACUAAGGCAUAACUGACACUGAAGCACGAAAGCGUGGGUAUCAAACAGGAUUAGAUACCCUGGUAGUCCACGCAGUAAACGAUGAUUACUAGGAGUUUGCGAUAUAGUGUAAGCUCUACAGCGAAAGCGUUAAGUAAUCCACCUGGGGAGUACGCCGGCAACGGUGAAACUCAAAGGAAUUGACGGGGGCCCG
rnacentral:rRNA from 1 species